GAGGGGCAGAGUGAGGGGAAUGACUAGUGGGAGAGGGAGGGAGGGAGGUGGUGACUAGUCACCCCUUCCUUCCCUCCCUCUUUCACUAGUCACCCCUUCCUUCCCUCCCUCGCUAGUCACCCCUUCCCUCCCUCCCUCUUUCACUAGUCACCCUUUCCCUCCCUCACUCU